rnacentral:misc_RNA from 1 species
UGGCAUACCUCUUCAUUUAUGCGUCAUGACUUGUAUCGUCUUGAGCGUAUUGUGGGUUUCCUGUGUUGCAUACCUAACUAAUGGUAUCGUUUUGAUUGAUCGAAGUCCCUUUUCAUCCUGUGUUGCCUUUGUGACGCAUGAUGAACCUYGAAGCGGUCUCUAUGUUCCUCCACGUUGAUGCUAGUGUUUCGAUGUUGUGGCCCAUUGAGCGUUGCUUGGUUUCAUGGAUACAGAACAUGAUUUGGGCAUAGGGUCACUCAUGACUCUUGUUCUGUCCUUUAUCAGUGUUCUUUAUAACGACGGUUCAUGUGCGCCUAGGCUCGUACCUGCGCGAUGUUCUUUGUCGAAGAGGAAUGCUACCUGGUUGAUCCUGCCAGUAGUCAUAUGCUUGUCUCAAAGAUUAAGCCAUGC